GCCUAGGACUACAGCCCUCCACCUUCACUGUUGUUGCUCCACUUGCAGGUGACGGCAAGACAAGCAAAAUAGGACGUCAAAGGUGGACGUCAAAGAAGGGAAAAGCUUAACGGCCAAGAAGAAACUUAUCCCCGAGCUCGAUCACACGACCGUCGCGACGCUCUCAUUAAUACUAACUCCAAGAUUAUUCAUACUCUUCAAGUUACCAACUUCCACGUACCUCGCGUAUGCACUCACGGCCGUGCUGCUGCUGUGCCGUACAACGCCAACCGCAGCAAUAAGGCACGCAGAAAGCCCACCUUGCAAUGGCCGCGCAGGAACCUCGGGACACAGUUAUCCGCUGCUCUGCCGAGCCCCACCUGAAUUGCACAGCCACUCACACUCUGCUCCCCGACACUCUGCACAAUGAAUCGCAGGUGCCAGCAGACCUCCGUUCUCACGGCAGCCUUCGCAUCAUCCAGCAGACGCGUGCUUACCGAGUGAGCACUGUGCGCUUCCAGUCGAGAGGGGGAACCUACGCCUAACUCAAAAGUACCAACACAACACUAACCUAUGCCUAACACUAAAGUAAGAACAGCAACCUACGCCUAACUCUAAAGUAACAACAACAACAACAACAACAAUCUACUCCUAACACUAACAUAACAACAAGAACCCCUACCUAACUCUAAAAUACAAACAACAACCUACUCCUACCACUAGAACUAAACUUAACACUAACAUCAACAAGAACGGGGACGGGGACAGAACGGGGCUCAGAGGGGACUGGGGGCCCGCAGAACUCGGCGCCAGAGGAGGACCAGAUGUUAAAUAAUGCCACCCAGCUAAUGCUGGGGGCGGGGGCCGCGCAGCGGGUAAGGAGCCGAGCGCCUGGACCAGCGAUGGCGGAGCUGUGACGGCGCCGAUGCGGGGCCUGGCACGGUGGUGUGGUGCCAGGCCAGCUAUGCCGCAGGCGGAUCCACCUCCAUGGGCUCCACGGUGGUGCUCACGCUGCUGGUCCAGGUGCGAUGGAAACGCACUCUCCUGCCCCUCCUCCGCUUGAUGGUCAUGGCGGGCCCCCUCCUCCUCUUCGCUUCUGGGGCCCCCAGCUCCCUCUUCCCACCUACAAUAGGGCAAUCGUCCCCUCUCGCUCUCUUCGUGCCUGACAUGGCUCUCAACCGCCAGAGCACUCCGAGGCGAGUGCGUUGCGUGGGGCAGCGGUGACCAAGGUGACAGCUGGGACAUGGCGAAGGUUCUAAAAUGGCAGCCGCACUGCUGGCAGUGGCCUUCCACGGAGGAGGAGGAGGGGGCUGCAGGACAGGGCACGGGACGCCAGGUAGAAGGCGCUCCCUGUGCCCAGCGGGCAGCCCUUCUCUCCGGCCAGCAAGAGGGCACACAGGAGCCGGCCCCGACAAAAGGGCCCUCAGCCUCCUUCACCCUCGCCCUCCUUCCACAAGGGAAUCCCCUUCUCAGCCUGGGACACGCAGCACACAGCCGCUCGCUGUGAUGGCAUCUCCUGAGGCCAGUGCAAACAACAGCAGGCUCCAAAGCGCACCUGACUACGCCUGCCUCCUGCGAGACAGAAGCCAUGGCUUCCAUUUCAGCAUCCAGUGCCUCUUCCCAUGUGCGGUCCCAUGCUGGGAUUCCAACAUUACCUACAAUAAAUACGUCCAACUGAGUGUUGAACAACAGUUUCAGAGUCUCUGAGGAAAUACGUUAUAGGGAACAAGCUUCCUCAACGAGGCUGCUUGCGACUCGCCUCGCUUAUAAAGCCCUUGCAUUCAACAAUCCCAUUCCCAAAAUAACAUACCUACUAUUUGCUAGAGCAUCUCAGACAGCCUGGGGGGCAAAGUCGUGGUAGGUAAGUAUUGCAGGACACCACUUCCAGAGGACACCCGGGGACUUGGAAGGAUGUCAGUCACUGCAGGCCUGUGGACUACGGCAGCGUCCUUGCCCUACUGCUCAUGCUCGGCGACAGCAAGAGAGCAUCUCCUCCUGCCACGAAGCAGGCAGCUGGCAGCGGGGAGCAGAGAGGCAGCAGCUGGGGCACAGAGCUGUCAGCAGAACAUGAAGAACAUGCACGCUAAGCGAGGUGCGUGCGGGUCAGACCCCGAGCCCAGGAAUGCUUCAGCUGCACUCAGGGGACAGGCAUGCGCUGGCGUUGCGGCUCCAUGCCGAGGGCCAGAGCUGCUGCAGGGCCAGCGCUGGGCCUGGGGGCUACAUCAGCCCGGGCAGCUUCUGCCAGCUCCCAGAGAGCUUCUCCCCUCUGCACUUUCUCUGGGCAGGGGACCAGGGAAAACCAGGGCAACAGGCACAGACCUGAUGCGGGCCACAGGCUGCCGUGCCUGCCGAGAGCAUCAGGGGUGCUACGGCCAUACGCAGGAAGCUUGAUCCUUGUGGGAAGACACUGCUAGGACAGCACCCGCUUGUCCUUCUUGCCAACCGUGGCUGCGUCCGUGCCCACUCAUCGGGGCUGUCCUCCCGGUGCCAAGCCAGCAGAGCACAGCCCGCAGUGGCUGUGGGGGCCAAGAUAUUCAUUGGGAGCUGCCUGCCACAGCAUCCAGCUCAGCUCCUACAAGCACCACUCGCUCGCACCGCACCGCACCGCACCGCACGCCUCGCCUCUGCGUGCGUGCCGGCAGCACCACGAGCUCCUCCCCCGAGAGCCCCUCCAUGCCCCCGCCCCGAGCCCCGAGCCCCGACCCCGUGCCCAGGACACAGCCCGCUCCUCCCGGCCCCGCUCACCGGCCUCGCGCCGCCAUGCCGCGCUGCCCCGGAACUGCUCUCCGCCGCCGCCAAGCACUUCCUGCCCCGGCCCUAGCAACCGCCUGCGGCGUCACGUUGCUAAGGGCGGCCUGGGGGCGGCCCGGGGCCUGUGGGGGGGGC
rnacentral:lncRNA from 1 species